AUUCCGAACAGAGAAGUUAAGCCCGUUAGCGCAGAUGGUACUGCUAUUUGUGGGAGAGUAUGUCACCGCCUUUU
rnacentral:rRNA from 1 species